CAAACUGUCCGAAAAUUUUAUGAAGUCCGUCCAAGAUAUUUCAGAUUCACGUAGGCGUACAUUGGAUAAAGCUUUUGAUAAUAUGAAUAGUCUGAGGAUUCAAUUAGAGAUUGACGAUUAUAGUGAUGAAGUUGUUCAAAUUGCUAGACGCUUUUAUGAAAUAGGCCUUGAAUGGAAUUUCACUAGGGG